GAAACCAGCUGUUCAAAUGCCGACAGAUGAAGUGGUUCUGUUGAAUGGCAUAACAUUUGGGGUUUUGACACCUGUGAAGGAGAAGAAAAUCCAUAUGUGUUUCAAGACUUGCCCAAAGUAGAAGAAACACAAUAUUUUUUUGAAGAAAAGCCUGUUAGCAUGAUGUGGUGUGAAGCAAAGAAUAUUAAGAACAAAGUAAGUAUGUUGUAAAAUGGAAAUACCACCAUGUAAAAAGUCUGUGGAGUUAAGCGGUACAUCCUGUGCUAAUAUAUGUCUUUCAUUGUGUAUCUGUGAUAUUCAAAGCUUGAUUGAAAUAUUUUAUUUUUUAUUUUUUGUCUGAUAUCUGUGAUGUUAAAUCAAUCAGUAUUAAUGUUAUUAUUUAACAUGAGUGUGUGAAAUUGUCUGAUAUGUCAUAGUGUUUCCCUCCCAUAAUAUUAAAAUAUUCUGGUGAAUCACAGCCACAAAGAUACCAAUUCAUUUGUACAUACACUGAAUUUCUAUGAAAUUUGUUUUCAAUACUGCUAAAAAUUUUAUUUGUAAUGUAUGUAAUGUAUGUAAACAAUAUAUGACUCAAGCACAUACUAGUAGAUAAACACUUAUUAUAACAUUUAGCAUUUAUUUUUAAAUUAGUAAAUGCUAUUUCUUUAUUUGACAUGGUAUUUGGGGAUACACAUGUACAUUAUCACCCUCGAUAAAUAUAACCUGUUAUACAAGGGUCAUUAUGUUUUGAGGGAAAUAUUUGUACAAAUGAAUUGGUAUGUUUGUGGCUGUGAGGGCACAGUUGGUUAUUAUUAUAUUCAAACUUCAAAGUGGCCAAUGAAGGAAAGAUAAGCCGCUACAAUUUCCAUUGUUCGAAAUCUUUAAAUGUAACAAUGUGAAGCAUGUAAGUGUGUUACUUUUCAAAGUACAGGAAUUUAUAUAUCAUUUCUAAAUAUGUAUUAUUACUAUAUUUAUACAGACAUGUACAAGUCACUACAGGUAAAUCAUUGAGUUCAGUUCCAAAACUUUAUUGUACAUUAAUUUAUGAUGUCACCGUAAUUUGAGAAAUAUGGUGACAUAAAACUCUGUUUUACAGUUACUUCAAAAGUUAAGAUUAUUUUGAUUGAUUUUAGUUUCUACUUAAUGCAGAUUUCAAAAUAUCACCAUGUUUCAGUGUUUGUUGGGUUUCAGUUUAAUACAGGCAAUGAAUGGCUGAAGUGUCUGUAUGUGGAGCUAAAUUUUACACAAUACAGACAGAAAUCAAAUUAAACCAUAUGUGUCCGUGUUUAUAAUAUUUUAUUUACAUAGGUCCAUGACACUCAAUGAGAGGGAAAUAAGAAUUGGUCAUAUUAUUUAUGGCAUUCAUUAGUGUUUAGUCAGUGUUUUUAGCUCACCUGUCACAAAGUGGCAGGGUGAGCUUUUGUGAUCGCUUUACGACCGGCGUCCGUCCGGCCGUCGUCUUUUACUUUAAAUGUCAUCUCCUCAUAAACCACUAAGCCAAUUUCAUCCAAACUUCACAGGAAAGUUCCUUUGGUGGUCACCUUUAAAUAUUGUUCAAAGAAUUUAAUUCCAUGCAGAACUCUGGUUGCCAUGGCAACCGAAAGAAAAAACUUAAAAUAUCUACUUUUAAAAAACCCAAAGAGCUAGAGCUUAGAUAUAUGGCAUGCAACAUCUUCUAGUCAGUGUCUACCAAGUUAGUUCAAAUAAAAGCCCUUGGGUAGAAAUUGGCCCCGCCCCAGGGGGUCAUUGAUUUUCCCUAUAUGCAUAUAGUAAAAACUUAAAGAAUCUUCUUUUAAAGAACUCAAAGAGCUAGAGCUAAGAUAUUUAGCAUGAAACAUCUUCUAAUGGGUGUCUACCAAGUGUGUUCUAAUUAUAGCCCUGGGGUCAAAAUUGGCCCCGCCCCGGGGGUCAUUGAUUUUCCUUAUAUGUGUUUUGCAAAAACUUAAAAAAUCUUCUUUGAAAAAACCCAAAUAGCUAGAGUUUAGAUAUUAAGGGUGAAACAUCUUCUAGUGAGUGUCUACAAAUUUUGUUCAAAUAAAAGCCCUGGGGUCAAAAUUGGCCCGCCCCGGGGUCAUUGAUAUUCCUUAUAUGUGUAUAGCAAAUUGAUAUUCCUUAUAUGUGUAUAGCAAAAACUUAAAAAAUCUUCUUUGAAAAAAACCCAAAUAGCUAGAGUUUAGAUAUUAAACAUGAAACAUCUUCUAGUAAGUGUCUACAAAGUUUGUUCAAAUAAAAGCCCUAGGGUCAAAACUGGCCCUGCUCCAGGGCUGUCAUUGUUUUUAACUUAUUAUGUGUAUAGUAAAAACUUAAAAAAACUUCUUUUAAAAAACCCAAUGAGCUAGAGCUUAAAUGUUUAGCAUGAAACAUCUUCUUAUGGUAGUCUACCAAGUUAGUUCAAAUAAAAGCCCUUGGGUUAAAAUUGGCCCUGCCGGGGGUGGCAGGGGACGAAAAGAUCAUUGUUUUUAUUAUAUGUGUGUAGUAAAAACUUAACAUCAUGAAACAUCUUCCAAUGGGUGCCUUCCAAGUUUUUUCAAAUAAAAGCCCUGGGGGUCUAAACUGGCCCUGCUCCGGGGGCCUAUAUACAGGUGAGCGACCUCAGGGCCAUCAUGGCCCUCUUGUAUAAUGUUCAUGUCAAUCACUUGGUUUUGAAAGUAAAUAAGUGGGUGGUCUUAAUUUUCAUGACACAAAGAACCUUUUAAAAAUGGUCUAAAUAGUGGGGUGGUCUUAAUUCUGAGGUUAUCUUAAGUAGUGAUUCCAAUGUACAUUGAAUGUAUGUGUCAGGUAUCAGUCCAAGUUGCAUAAUCUUAUUAGUCAGUCAAGCUGAUCCGAAAGAUAUGACCAUUUAUUUUUCUCCAUGAUGCAUACAAUGGUCUCAUUGACAUCCUGCACAUCAAAAUUGUAUCAUAAAAAAAUCGACUUGCAAACAUAUUUAGUACAUUACUGAAUUCAAAAUUAAUUGGUCACCUUUUGGAUAAUAAUGACAUUUAAGGACAUGAUUGGUGACAUUGCCCGGGUCCAUACUUUCAGUGACUGAAAGGGUGGAUGGACCCUCAUUAAGCCUAGAAAACAUACAGACAUUAAAUGUAAUCAAAUAUCAAUCAAUUACUCGCUUAAAGUAAUUGUAAUUUAAUUGAUUACAGAGGCAAGUCUGAGUAAUCAAACUUAAUCAAUUACAAUAAAAUCUGAAAGUACAUUUGUAAUUGUAAUUAAAGAAAUUACAUAUACUGAUCAAUGUAAUCAACCCCAGGUCUGAUCCAGUCACUCUCUAGCUUGCAUCCAGGAGAAAGCAGUACUGGUGUCAUGUGAUGAGGUACAGUCAUGACCACAGUGGACCUUGAACCCCUUACAUCUGGAAUGAGAAGUGCAUGUGUUGACAUGAAAUCGUACCUGUAUCUAUAUAAAUUUUCAAAUGCCCAGAAUGAAAGAUUUUUGAAUUGUAUUAAAGUGUCACUGGUCUGGUGAGUCUAAAAAAUUGUAGACAUUUAUACAGGUGUGAUAGCUUCCGGUAAAAGGGAAUGAAGAGAAAUGGACAUUCAUUUUCAAAAAUAGUGUUAGCUUUGCCUGUUUAUGCUAUUUAAAAAGAAGUUAAAAAGUAUAAUCUGUUUAACAGUUUCAUUCACAUUGAAUUUAGAUGAAAUCUUUAAAAAUCCUUUUUUGACUAUCCUAGUCAAAAAUGAAAUAUCCGCCAAUUCAGAUAUGUCUGUCUUCAAAAACAGAAAUAACUUGUUAAAACUUAUUUCGUAUUUGUUUUUAAAGCUUCAACAGUGUUUUGAGCAUCAUUCUUUACUAUAAACCAAUGUGACCAUUAUGAAGGUUAAUAUAACUAAGAUAGAAUAUGAAUUUCUGUAAAUUGUGAUAUUUUAAAUUUGUGUAAAUUAUGCGCUAUUAGCCAUUGUCAGUUUAACUUCAUUAGUAUUUGACAUAGUGUAAGGAAACCUAACAGUAAUUUGAUAAGGAUCGAUGUUUUCACCUUGAAUACGUCAUUCAAUAAAUUUUGUGGAAAUAAAUAUUGUUCUUAAAAUUUUAUCCUUUAUUCUGUUUAG